CGUUGAGGACGACCUCAUAUGUGGAAAUAACAAAGCGGGACGACCCGC
rnacentral:ncRNA from 1 species